GGGGCUUAGAGUUUGAUCCUGGCUCAGAACGAACGCUGGCGGCAGGCCUAACACAUGCAAGUCGAGCGCUCUCUUCGGAGGGAGCGGCAGACGGGGGAGUAACGCGUGGGAACCUGCCCAGGGGUACGGAAUAACUCAGGGAAACUUGAGCUAAUACCGUAUACGUCCUGUGGGAGAAAGAUUUAUCGCCCUUGGAUGGGCCCGCGUUGGAUUAGCUUUUUGGGGGGGUAAUGGCCUACCAAGGCGACGAUCCAUAGCUGUUUUGAGAGGAAGAUCAGCCACACUGGGACUGAGACACGGCCCAGACUCCUACGGGAGGCAGCAGUGGGGAAUCUUGGACAAUGGGCGCAAGCCUGAUCCAGCCAUGCCGCGUGAGUGAUGAAGGCCCUAGGGUUUUAAAGCUCUUUCACCGGGGACGAUAAUGACGGUAGCCGGAGAAGAAGCCCCGGCUAACUUCGUGCCAGCAGCCGCGGUAAUACGAAGGGGGCUAGCGUUUUUCGGAAUUACUGGGCGUAAAGCGCACGUAGGCGGAUGAUUAAGUCAGGGGGGAAAGCCCGGAGCUCAACUCCGGAACUGCCCUUGAUACUGGUCAUCUUGAGACCGGGAGAGGAGAGUGGAAUUCCCAGUGUAGAGGUGAAAUUCGUAGAUAUUGGGAAGAACACCCGUGGCGAAGGCGGCUCUCUGGCCCGGUUUUGACGCUGAGGUGCGAAAGUGUGGGGAGCAAACAGGAUUAGAUACCCUGGUAGUCCACACCGUAAACGAUGAAUGCUAGUUGUUGGGGAUCCUAGAUCUUCAGUGACGCCGCUAACGCAUUAAGCAUUCCGCCUGGGGAGUACGGCCGCAAAGGUUAAACUCAAAGGAAUUGACGGGGGCU
rnacentral:rRNA from 1 species